UAACAAGGAUUCCCCUAGUAACUGCGAGUGAAGCGGGAAAAGCUCAAAUUUAAAAUCUGGCGGGUUCCCCGUCCGAGUUGUAAUCUGGAGAAGCGUUUUCCGUGUCGGACCGUGUACAAGUCCCUUGGAAUGGGGCGUCAUAGAGGGUGAGAAUCCCGUCCAUGACAYGGACUACCGAUGCUUUGUGAUACGCUCUCGAAGAGUCGAGUUGUUUGGGAAUGCAGCUCAAAAUGGGUGGUAAAUUCCAUCUAAAGCUAAAUAUUGGCGAGAGACCGAUAGCGAACAAGUACCGUGAGGGAAAGAUGAAAAGCACUUUGGAAAGAGAGUUAAACAGUACGUGAAAUUGUUGAAAGGGAAACGCUUGAAGUCAGUCGCGUCCGUCGAGACUCAGCCUUGCCUUUGGGCCUGGUGUAUUUCUCGGUGGACGGGUCAACAUCGAUUUUGAAUGGCAGAUAAAGGUCUGGGGAAUGUGGCACCUCCGGGUGUGUUAUAGCCCCUCUCCGUAUAUGCUGUUUGGGAUCGAGGACCGCAGCACGCCCUUGUGGCCGGGGUUUUACCCACGUACCGUGCUUAGGAUGUUGGCAUAAUGGCUUUAAGCGACCCGUCUUGAAACACGGACCAAGGAGUCUAACAUGCCUGCGAGUGUUAGGGUGCAAAACCCUUGYGCGUAAUGAAAGUGAAAGUUGGGACCUCUGUCGAGGAGGGCACCGACGCCCGGCCCUGAACUCUUGUGACGGUGCUGCGGUAGAGCAUGUAUGUUGGGACCCGAAAGAUGGUGAACUAUGCCUGAAUAGGGCGAAGCCAGAGGAAACUCUGGUGGAGGCUCGUAGCGAUUCUGACGUGCAAAUCGAUCGUCAAAUUUGGGUAUAGGGGCGAAAGACUAAUCGAACCAUCUAGUAGCUGGUUCCUGC
rnacentral:rRNA from 1 species